rnacentral:rRNA from 1 species
CGACAAGUGUGAUCAGCCUGACGGAGCACGCCGCGUGAGUGAUGAAGGGUUUCGGCUCGUAAAACUCUGUUAUUAGGGAAGAACAAACGUGUAAGUAACUGUGCACGUCUUGACGGUACCUAAUCAGAAAGCCACGGCUAACUACGUGCCAGCAGCCGCGGUAAUACGUAGGUGGCAAGCGUUAUCCGGAAUUAUUGGGCGUAAAGCGCGCGUAGGCGGUUUCUUAAGUCUGAUGUGAAAGCCCACGGCUCAACCGUGGAGGGUCAUUGGAAACUGGGAAACUUGAGUGCAGAAGAGGAAAGUGGAAUUCCAUGUGUAGCGGUGAAAUGCGCAGAGAUAUGGAGGAACACCAGUGGCGAAGGCGACUUUCUGGUCUGUAACUGACGCUGAUGUGCGAAAGCGUGGGGAUCAAACAGGAUUAGAUAACCGCGGGUUAGUUCCCAA